UCGAUGUUGAAUCCGCUAUGGAAGAGGGUUUUGAAGACGUGCAAACAGACUUGGUUGAAGAGGACUUCGCACUUUUGUAAGUUCUUGAUUGUACCAUAAAGUUUAUUAACAUGUAAAUCUAGUUGAUCAAAGUUUAUUAAACCAUUCGUAGAAUUGAGGGUUUUCUUUUUCUUUGUUAUGUACAUAUGCCGCUUUUGUGUCCAUGUAUGUAAAUGCCUAUAAAUUAUGCAAUUAAAGAAAGAUUUCACUUUGCAAAAUUUAUAGGCAUUUACAUACAUGGAC
rnacentral:misc_RNA from 1 species